rnacentral:lncRNA from 1 species
CAGAAGGCUGCACGUACAACACACACAGAGGCGGGCAUUUCCCUGACGACUCGUGUGUGCCGUGGGGGAGCGGUAGAUGGCCCAGCCCCAAGUGUUCCGAUCUUCCUGCCCAAACAUAUUCUGUGACGGAAAGCCUAUGUUGACCUCGUCCGGCACUCAAGGCGUGGGCAGCGGCCUAACGUCUGCUGCGGGAACACAGUCGCGUUGAAUGCUAUUCUCAAGACAGACAAAACAGUGGGAAGACACUACGCCAAGCUGCUAACUCCCUGGCCAUUGCCGGACUCUUUCACCCCCAUGGACUUUCCGCUGGCAUUUUAAACAACAUAGUUUCUUUUCUCUGUCUCUUUCUCUUUCUCUCUCUCUUUCUCUUUCUCUCUCUCUCUCUCUCUCUCUCUCUCUCUCUCAAUCUCAUAAUUUCUCUCUCUCGUGCCACGUUCCCACCCAACGCUCUCUCGCCCACUUCUACUGGGGCCCACUUCCUCUCCUGCUCUCUCUGUCUCAACGUGAUUGACUUUCUUGUGCUGCCCAGGACUUCUUGCCCACGUGCGCCUUCAAAACGGUAAGAGCUGCAACUGAACGUGUGAGACAUGGUGCAGAUAGGCUGAGAGGCGGCGGGAGAGAUGCCCAUGAACUCAAGUACCCGGACACGCCCUCCACUUCUACCACCACGAGUAACACCGCCCCCACGGGACCGCUCUCGAGGUCCCCCAAGCCAAGGUGAACCCACAAUUCCGGAAUAGCGGGACCGGCACCCGGGCCCUUCUCACGUGGCAGCACCGGCAAGGGGCUGGGGGAAGAGCCCACGCCAGCCUACGUCACGCAGGAAGGGAGCCAGUGGCCACCCCAAACACACCUCUCCUCCUCACACCUGGCCUACGUCCAACUCUCCACGGCUCUGCCCAGAAGGCUGCACGUACAACACACACAGAGGCGGGCAUUUCCCUGACGACUCGUGUGUGCCGUGGGGGAGCGGUAGAUGGCCCAGCCCCAAGUGUUCCGAUCUUCCUGCCCAAACAUAUUCUGUGACGGAAAGCCUAUGUUGACCUCGUCCGGCACUCAAGGCGUGGGCAGCGGCCUAACGUCUGCUGCGGGAACACAGUCGCGUUGAAUGCUAUUCUCAAGACAGACAAAACAGUGGGAAGACACUACGCCAAGCUGCUAACUCCCUGGCCAUUGCCGGACUCUUUCACCCCCAUGGACUUUCCGCUGGCAUUUUAAACAACAUAGUUUCUUUUCUCUGUCUCUUUCUCUUUCUCUCUCUCUUUCUCUUUCUCUCUCUCUCUCUCUCUCUCUGUCAAUCUCAUAAUUUCUCUCUCUCGUGCCACGUUCCCACCCAACGCUCUCUCGCCCACUUCUACUGGGGCCCACUUCCUCUCCUGCUCUCUCUGUCUCAACGUGAUUGACUUUCUUGUGCUGCCCAGGACUUCUUGCCCACGUGCGCCUUCAAAACGGUAAGAGCUGCAACUGAACGUGUGAGACAUGGUGCAGAUAGGCUGAGAGGCGGCGGGAGAGAUGCCCAUGAACUCAAGUACCCGGACACGCCCUCCACUUCUACCACCACGAGUAACACCGCCCCCACGGGACCGCUCUCGAGGUCCCCCAAGCCAAGGUGAGGCAAGUCCCAGUUGAAUGUCAUCCCGUUCCUCUUGGGCACGGCGGACCGCUCUCGCCCUUAAAGGUGCGUUGACGUGGAAGGUGAAUGUCUCUUUGCGUGACAGUGCCUCAGCGCACGGGCGACGAGGGGCACACCUAUCCCCCUGGCUCGCUCUCUAGCUGGAUUCAGGUGGAACGGAGGACCAUGAACCCUCUGGACCUUUUCUGCCUUGGUCCUAUGCUUGUAAGGUUUCCGGCCUAAGAGGCCCAUCGACUCCUUCUGCCUUCUUUCAGUUGAUUACAAAAUAAAUAAAUAAAUAAAUAAAUAAAUAAAUAAAAAAGCAGGACAUUAAACCUGCCACCUCCAGAGGGUCCUCUAGCUUCCUUCUCCACUCCUGAAUUGAGCGAAGCGGUGCCGACCUCCACCCUUUGGGCACGAGCCCCUGCGCACUUGGGAGACUCCUGAACACCCUCGGAGAAGCCAGAAAGCCCCGGGAGAUGGCUCCGUCUGCUGCUGUACCAGACCGGGUCCUGCAAAGGAUGCAUCCUCCGAGCCUCCUCCCUGCACGUCCAGUGGGGCCUGCCCGUAUUCUACCUGAGGGACCCACUGGAGGAGAGGCACGGGGAUGCUGCCUGAGCAGCGGACCCUUCUGGCGCGGAGCAGGCUGUCCCCAGGCAGAGUCCGACGGGUCCUUCCUUCUGGGUGCCCCCGGCUUCCCGGACUCCAGCAGGCCUGGGAAGGCCCCGGGCCCCCUUAGCCGAUGCCCAGAGAGUCUCCAUUUCUCAAGCUUUGCCACCGAACUCAUCGGUCGGUGCGCCUCUGAUCGCAGGGCAAGGGCCUGCGCACCCCCAAAGACAAGCGGGGUCCCCGGAAGGCCCCCAGGCAGAAAUGAGCACCACGGGGAACGGCCCGCCUCCAAGACAACCUCGGGGACAUGGACACAACAAGACAGGGUGGCAAGUCUCAACAAGGCGGGUGCGCGGCGUCUGAAGGUGGCCGGGCCGGGCCGGGCCGGGCCGGGCCUGGCCUUGCGUCCACCUCGUCAAGAACCGUCUGGGUACGGGCCCCGCGGGAUGCCCCGCGGCCCACCUUCCUCCCUAGGACGCAAGGAGGAACGCCCCGGCGCCGGCCAGCAGCGGCGGGCACCCGCGCCAAUGGCCACGGAACUCAGCACUGGCAGUCGGCCCUCCUCACACCGCAGGCGUGCAGUGUGGCCGACGGAGCCUCCCGGGCCGAGGACCCAGCUAGGCCGUCACCCCGGUUGCUCCCACGGGAAGGGGCACCAGGCAAACUGCCCAAGGCCCCGAGCCCAGGCUCCCUGGCGGAGG